rnacentral:rRNA from 1 species
AACAGGAUUAGAUACCCUGGUAGUCCACGCGGUAAACGAUGAUUACUGGCUGUUUGCGAUACACAGUAAGCGGCCCAGCGAAAGCGUUAAGUAAUCCACCUGGGGAGUACGUUCGCAAGAAUGAAACUCAAAGGAAUUGACGGGGGCCCGCACAAGCGGAGGAACAUGUGGUUUAAUUCGAUGAUACGCGAGGAACCUUACCCGGGCUUGAAAUGCAUUUGACCGGCACCGAGACGUGCCUUCCCCUCGGGGCAAAUGUGUAGGUGCUGCAUGGUUGUCGUCAGCUCGUGCCGUGAGGUGUCGGCUUAAGUGCCAUAACGAGCGCAACCCUCAUCGUUAGUUACCAUCAGGUCAUGCUGGGGACUCUAGCGAGACUGCCAUCGUAAGAUGCGAGGAAGGUGGGGAUGACGUCAAAUCAGCACGGCCCUUAUGUCCGGGGCGACACACGUGUUACAAUGGGUGGUACAAAGGGCAGCUACAUGGCGACAUGAUGCUAAUCUCUAAAACCACUCUCAGUUCGGAUCGGAGUCUGCAACUCGACUUCGUGAAGCUGGAUUCGCUAGUAAUCGCGCAUCAGCCACGGCGCGGUGAAUACGUUCCCGGGCCUUGUACACACCGCCCGUCAAGCCAUGGAAGCCGGGGGCACCUGAAGUUCGUAACCGUCAAGGAGCGACCUAGGGUAAAACUGGUGACUGGGGCUAAGUCGUAACAAGGUAACC